rnacentral:rRNA from 1 species
UACGUAGGGGGCAAGCGUUGUCCGGAAUCAUUGGGCGUAAAGGGCGCGUAGGCGGCCGUGCAAGUGGAAGGUGAAAUCCCUCGGCUCAACCGAGGAACUGCCUUUCAAACUGCAUGGCUUGAGUCCGGGAGAGGUGAGUGGAAUUCCCAGUGUAGCGGUGAAAUGCGUAGAUAUUGGGAGGAACACCAGUGGCGAAGGCGGCUCACUGGACCGGAACUGACGCUGAGGCGCGAAAGCGUGGGGAGCAAACGGG